rnacentral:rRNA from 1 species
GUGAACUCGAAGAGUAGGGCGGGACACGUGGUAUCCUGUCUGAAUAUGGGGGGACCAUCCUCCAAGGCUAAAUACUCCUGACUGACCGAUAGUGAACCAGUACCGUGAGGGAAAGGCGAAAAGAACCCCGGCGAGGGGAGUGAAAAAGAACCUGAAACCGUGUACGUACAAGCAGUGGGAGCACCUUCGGGUGUGACUGCGUACCUUUUGUAUAAUGGGUCAGCGACUUAUAUUCUGUAGCAAGGUUAACCGUAUAGGGGAGCCGCAGGGAAACCGAGUCUUAACUGGGCGUUAAGUUGCAGGGUAUAGACCCGAAACCCGGUGAUCUAGCCAUGGGCAGGUUGAAGGUUGGGUAACACUAACUGGAGGACCGAACCGACUAAUGUUGAAAAAUUAGCGGAUGACUUGUGGCUGGGGGUGAAAGGCCAAUCAAACCGGGAGAUAGCUGGUUCUCCCCGAAAGCUAUUUAGGUAGCGCCUCGUGAANUCAUCUUCGGGGGUAGAGCACUGUUUCGGCUAGGGGGUCAUCCCGACUUACCAACCCGAUGCAAACUACGAAUACCGAAGAAUGUUAUCACGGGAGACACACGGCGGGUGCUAACGUCCGUCGUGAAGAGGGAAACAACCCAGACCGCCAGCUAAGGUCCCAAAGUCAUGGUUAAGUGGGAAACGAUGUGGGAAGGCACAGACAGCCAGGAUGUUGGCUUAGAAGCAGCCAUCAUUUAAAGAAAGCGUAAUAGCUCACUGGUCGAGUCGGCCUGCGCGGAAGAUGUAACGGGGCUAAACCAUGCACCGAAGCUGCGGCAGCGACACUAUGUGUUGUUGGGUAGGGGAGCGUUCUGUAAGCCUGCGAAGGUGUGCUGUGAGGCAUGCUGGAGGUAUCAGAAGUGCGAAUGCUGACAUAAGUAACGAUAAAGCGGGUGAAAAGCCCGCUCGCCGGAAGACCAAGGGUUCCUGUCCAACGUUAAUCGGGGCAGGGUGAGUCGACCCCUAAGGCGAGGCCGAAAGGCGUAGUCGAUGGGAAACAGGUUAAUAUUCCUGUACUUGGUGUUACUGCGAAGGGGGGACGGAGAAGGCUAUGUUAGCCGGGCGACGGUUGUCCCGGUUUAAGCAUGUAGGCUGAUUAUCCAGGCAAAUCCGGAUAAUCAAGGCUGAGGUGUGAUGACGAGGCACUACGGUGCUGAAGUAACAAAUGCCCUGCUUCCAGGAAAAGCCUCUAAGCAUCAGGUAACAUCAAAUCGUAUCCCAAACCGACACAGGUGGUCAGGUAGAGAAUACCAAGGCGCUUGAGAGAACUCGGGUGAAGGAACUAGGCAAAAUGGUGCCGUAACUUCGGGAGAAGGCACGCUGGUGUGUAGGUGAAGUCCCUGCGGAUGGAGCUGAGACCAGUCGAAGAUACCAGCUGGCUGCAACUGUUUAUUAAAAACACAGCACUGUGCAAACACGAAAGUGGACGUAUACGGUGUGACGCCUGCCCGGUGCCGGAAGGUUAAUUGAUGGGGUUAUCCGUAAGGAGAAGCUCUUGAUCGAAGCCCCGGUAAACGGCGGCCGUAACUAUAACGGUCCUAAGGUAGCGAAAUUCCUUGUCGGGUAAGUUCCGACCUGCACGAAUGGCGUAAUGAUGGCCAGGCUGUCUCCACCCGAGACUCAGUGAAAUUGAACUCGCUGUGAAGAUGCAGUGUACCCGCGGCAAGACGGAAAGACCCCGUGAACCUUUACUAUAGCUUGACACUGAACAUUGAGCCUUGAUGUGUAGGAUAGGUGGGAGGCUUUGAAGCGUGGACGCCAGUCUGCGUGGAGCCAACCUUGAAAUACCACCCUUUAAUGUUUGAUGUUCUAACGUUGGCCCCUGACCGGGGUUGCGGACAGUGUCUGGUGGGUAGUUUGACUGGGGCGGUCUCCUCCCAAAGCGUAACGGAGGAGCACGAAGGUUAGCUAAUCCUGGUCGGACAUCAGGAGGUUAGUGCAAUGGCAUAAGCUAGCUUGACUGCGAGCGUGACGGCGCGAGCAGGUGCGAAAGCAGGUCAUAGUGAUCCGGUGGUUCUGAAUGGAAGGGCCAUCGCUCAACGGAUAAAAGGUACUCCGGGGAUAACAGGCUGAUACCGCCCAAGAGUUCAUAUCGACGGCGGUGUUUGGCACCUCGAUGUCGGCUCAUCACAUCCUGGGGCUGAAGUAGGUCCCAAGGGUAUGGCUGUUCGCCAUUUAAAGUGGUACGCGAGCUGGGUUUAGAACGUCGUGAGACAGUUCGGUCCCUAUCUGCCGUGGGCGCUGGAGAAUUGAGGGGGGCUGCUCCUAGUACGAGAGGACCGGAGUGGACGCAUCACUGGUGUUCGGGUUGUCAUGCCAAUGGCACUGCCCGGUAGCUAAAUGCGGAAGAGAUAAGUGCUGAAAGCAUCUAAGCACGAAACUUGCCCCGAGAUGAGUUCUCCCUGAGACUUUAAGUCUCCUGAAGGAACGUUAAAGACGAUGACGUUGAUAGGCCGGGUGUGUAAGCGCAGCGAUGCGUUGAGCUAACCGGUACUAAUGAACCGUGAGGCUUAACCUU